rnacentral:rRNA from 1 species
AGUCGAGGGGUAUUGGUUUUCGGACCAGAGACCGGCGCACGGGUGCGUAACGCGUAUGUAAUCUACCUUUUACAGAGGGAUAGCCCAGAGAAAUUUGGAUUAAUACCUCAUAGUAUUAUUGAAUGGCAUCAUUUAAUAAUUAAAGUCACAACGGUAAAAGAUGAGCAUGCGUCCCAUUAGCUUGUUGGUAAGGUAACGGCUUACCAAGGCAACGAUGGGUAGGGGUCCUGAGAGGGAGAUCCCCCACACUGGUACUGAGACACGGACCAGACUCCUACGGGAGGCAGCAGUGAGGAAUAUUGGUCAAUGGGCGCAAGCCUGAACCAGCCAUGCCGCGUGCAGGAUGACGGUCCUAUGGAUUGUAAACUGCUUUUGUACAGGAAGAAACAGUUCUACGUGUAGAAUCUUGACGGUACUGUAAGAAUAAGGAUCGGCUAACUCCGUGCCAGCAGCCGCGGUAAUACGGAGGAUCCAAGCGUUAUCCGGAAUCAUUGGGUUUAAAGGGUCCGUAGGCGGUUUUGUAAGUCAGUGGUGAAAGCCCAUCGCUCAACGGUGGAACGGCCAUUGAUACUGCAAGACUUGAAUUAUUAGGAAGUAACUAGAAUAUGUAGUGUAGCGGUGAAAUGCUUAGAGAUUACAUGGAAUACCAAUUGCGAAGGCAGGUUACUACUAAUUGAUUGACGCUGAUGGACGAAAGCGUGGGGAGCGAACAGGAUUAGAUACCCUGGUAGUCCACGCCGUAAACGAUGGAUACUAGCUGUUCGG